rnacentral:rRNA from 1 species
CACGUAGGGGGCAAGCGUUGUCCGGAUUCAUUGGGCGUAAAGAGCUCGUAGGCGGUUCGAUAAGUCGAGUGUGAAAGCCCCCGGCUCAACUGGGGAGGGUCAUUCGAUACUGAUCGACUCGAAGGCAGGAGAGGGAAGCGGAAUUCCCGGUGUAGUGGUGAAAUGCGUAGAUAUCGGGAGGAACACCAGUGGCGAAGGCGACUUCCUGGUCUGCCCCUGACGCUAAGAGGCGAAAGCUAGGGGAGCGAACGGG